rnacentral:rRNA from 1 species
GCGGCGAACGGGUGAGUAACGCGUGGGUGACCUGCCCGGGAGACCGGGAUAACAGUUCGAAAGGGCUGCUAAUACCGGAUGAUAUCUUUUGGCUGCGGCCAAGGGAUCAAAGCGUUUUAGCGCUCUCGGAUGGGCCCGCGUCCCAUUAGCUAGUUGGUGGGGUAAUGGCCUACCAAGGCGACGAUGGGUAGCCGGUCUGAGAGGAUGGUCGGCCACACUGGGACUGAGACACGGCCCAGACUCCUACGGGAGGCAGCAGUGGGGAAUUUUGCGCAAUGGGGGCAACCCUGACGCAGCGACGCCGCGUGGGUGAAGAAGGCCUUCGGGUUGUAAAGCCCUGUUGGGGGGGACGAUAGUGACGGUACCCCCUGAGGAAGCCCCGGCUAACUACGUGCCAGCAGCCGCGGUAAUACGUAGGGGGCGAGCGUUGUCCGGAAUUACUGGGCGUAAAGGGCGUGUAGGCGGCCUUUCAAGUCGGCUGUGAAAGUCCCCG